UUCGACCGCCUGGGGUUCUUUAACGUGCACCCAAAUCUGAGCACACGGGCCUACAACAUGGGGCACCGCCCCCACCAUGCGGGAAAGCGCGCCUCCUGCUCGUGGGCCGGAAAUCCUGGGGACGGACUCGGAUCGAGCCAUGAGUGGGAGACUGCGUGAGUCCUGGCUGCCCUAAUAAGGAUCACUGCAUCAAUGCCCUUGUGCUUCCGGGACAGCGGGUGCGACCUGGUCUUCCAACGGGACAUUGGCGACAACCCACCGGCUCGGUCAACGCAAGCAAUGCCGCACCUUACUUGCUGCCUUCAACCCCUGAUCGUUUCUCAACUGGAAUCCAAGUGCAACGUUCUGUGCAGCUGCAUCGGAGGGACUAUAAAUACUGCCUACGCCCUACAAGAACUUGAAGCACGCCACCGCACUUAUGCUGGUCACGAAAAUGCCCUUCUUCCUCGUGCAGAGCGUCAGCCUCUGACUCCAGAGCGCUCCUGACCGCUCCAACUUCGAAGUGAGAGCUUGGCGUGAUCUGACGGGGAGAAUGGAUCACGUGACACAAUCCAGCCAAUCACGUGGCUACCGGCAGGUGAACGAGGCUCCCUCCCAAGUAGUGACCAAGCCCAGUGCUGCUUAGCUUCGGUGAUCGGACGAGAACUGGCGCAUUCAACACUGUAUGGCAGAUGGCAUUUUUUUUUUCAAGGCUACUUUCUUGCUUUUCUACUAACCUUACAACAUUACAUUCUGGCUGCAUACGGAUAAAGAAAGACUGCCUUAAAAAUCAAAGGUAUGUAAUUAAAUUGUGUUAGUUAAACAAUAAUGUCGAAGCUAAAUAUUGUUAUUUAUUGAAUAAAUAAUUAUAUUUAAUUGAUUUUUU
rnacentral:lncRNA from 1 species